rnacentral:lncRNA from 1 species
CCCCCCUGCUCACUGUUCUUCCCAUGUGAACUCCAGGCAGCAUUUCCUGUCCUCACAACUGUUGCUUCAAUGCAGGCCUCUGAGAAACCAACCCCCCCACCCCACCGCCCCGCCCCACCAUGCUAUACUGAUCCGCAUGGUUCAGGUCAGGCGCGCACGCUGGUGGACCUUCUCACAAGGUUGUUUUCUGAGUUCCAGACUCCCCCAGCCUGUGUGUGAAUGCAUCUGCCUGUAGGAGGGAGUCCUCCAAAAUGCAAACCACAUGGGCUUGAAGCGAGAAGGCUGGUUGUAUUCUAUCCUACAAAAAACCAGCAAAAUCCAAAAAUACAGUCAAAUCCGGUGACUGAAGAUCUCCACGGAUCGUAAUGUCCUCAGGGACAUCACCAUUCAGAGCGCCCCUGGGCAGGCUGGAGGCUACGGGCCCUGCUCAGGGCUGAUGGGGAUUCAGGAACACGAACAUGUUGAUCCUACUUCUGUGUUGGAGAGCAGGGAACUCACGACAGCAAGCCAUCCUGUUACCGAAGCUUUGGAUCAUCUAACAGAAAAACAUGAAAAUUGGGGGCUCAGAGAGAGACUUACUGCCCAUGUGCGUGCACACUUAGUGCCCACCAAGAAGCCCUCAGCUAAAUGACUCCAUGGCUGCAAAAAUGUAUGACCUUGAACAGCACAUCAAGCCCCUGUCUGUUCGCCCUAUGCGCCAGGUCAUUCCGGAGAAACAAGCGGAGGUCCCAGAAGACCCGAGAGGUUGGCUGUGAUACUCUCCCAGAGCAUCACAGCACGUCCGCAUGGGAGCUGGAGACAGAAGGCAGGUCCAGAGCGAAUGCCGGAGGUGCUGGAUCUCAUGCUUUUAAAGGACAUUCUCAUGCAUUCAGUUGUCCACAUUUUUUUACUCUUUCAUUACUGGGAUGAGCCUACCUACAACCGCGUCUCCAAUGAUGCACAAAAUCAUUUGCCUGCCCAAAGACAUCUCUCUGAAUAUUAACUUCAGGUGACUUCGAUACUUGAUCAUCUCAUCACAUAAGAGUAUAUGCUGCCUUGGGGCGCCUGGGUGGCUCAGUGGGUUAAAGCCUCUGCCUUCGGCUCUGGUCAUGAUCCCAGGGUCCUGGGAUCAAGCCCCACAUCAGGAUCUCUGCUCAGCGGGAAGCCUGCUUCCCCCUCUCUCUCUGCCUACUUGUGACCGCUCCCUCUCUCUCUGUCAAAUAAAUAAAUAAAUAUUUUUUAAAAAA